CCUCACCCAACCCAGGCCCCCAGAGGACGUCUCCCAUGGCGACCAAGACAUUCCACGCCCCCCUGAGGCAGAUACAGUCCGCCCCCAUGCGCAGGGCGACGCCCACCAGAGCGCCAGACGCUGAGAUACUAGAACUGAACCAGCAGAUGUUGGACCUGAAACUGACAGUGGAUGGUCUUGAGAAGGAGAGAGAUUUCUGCUUCAGUAAGCUGAGAGAUAUCGAGCUGA